GUUGAGAAACUUGGAGUGGUUUCAUGGUUUGUAAUGAGUUCUUUUCAAAUAGAUCAGUAUUAGCACUUCAUAUUUUUAUACCAAUGAACUUGCAUUGGUUUCUGUAACUUCGCUUGCUGGGAUAAUGAUACUAUCAAGGAGUACCACUAGGAUCAACAUUUUCUCUCUGCCGACUCUAUACAACCAAAACACUAUCCCUAAUCAUCUUCUCUGUGCUGACUCCAUACUACUCUGAGUUUUGUUUAUAAUCACGAUUAUGUAUU
rnacentral:lncRNA from 1 species